rnacentral:tRNA from 1 species
GGGAAUGUAGUUCAGUGGUAGAGUGCUUGCCUAGCAUGCAUGAAGCCCUGGGUUCGAUUUCUCAGUACCA